UGACCUUUUUUUCUGGGGCAUUGUGUCAAUUUUGAGUGGAGUUUCCAAUUGCACAAUAGCAUCUGGACAGUUUUGACAUCUUUAUUACACUCUGCCCAUCUUGAAAAUGGAAAAAAAAUUAAGUCAUGGUAUCCGGCUUCAAGAAGCAUGCACCACUUUUGAAUUGUCUCUUGACAAGUAACAUGUGCAUAUUACAAACCCAAAGGCAUGUCUGAAGUGAUUCUUCUGGAGACUUACAUUCCUCAAAGCUCUCUCUCUCCUCAAAGCAUCACCACUUUGUUUCAGAGAAGAAAAUGUGUAAAUGUGUAAUGGAAAUGUGUAAAUGAUUAAAGCAUCUGUAUAAACAAAGAA